rnacentral:rRNA from 1 species
UGGGGAAUAUUGCACAAUGGGCGCAAGCCUGAUGCAGCCAUGCCGCGUGUAUGAAGAAGGCCUUCGGGUUGUAAAGUACUUUCAGCGGGGAGGAAGGUGUUGAGGUUAAUAACCUCAGCAAUUGACGUUACCCGCAGAAGAAGCACCGGCUAACUCCGUGCCAGCAGCCGCGGUAAUGCGGAGGGUGCAAGCGUUAAUCGGAAUUACUGGGCGUAAAGCGCACGCAGGCGGUCUGGCAAGUCGGAUGUGAAAUCCCCGGGCUCAACCUGGGAACUGCACUCGAAACUGGCAGGCUAGAGUCUCGUAGAGGGCGGUAGAAUUCCAGGUGUAGCGGUGCAAUGCGUAGAGAUCUGGAGGAAUACCGGUGGCGAAGGCGGCCCCCUGGACAAAGACUGUCGCUCAGGUGCGAAAGCGUGUGGAGCAAACAGG